GCCCAGCGCUGCCAAGGCCUGGGGACCACUCAGUCUUCAAAGGCCAGGGCUUCCAGGAGUCCUUUUCUGGUUUCUCUUUUGCAUCUAAUUACGAGAGAAAAGGUGCGUUUAAAACAACAGAAACCAUUUUCUUAAAUCACAAGGAACUAAGUCUCAAAAGCGUCUUGGAAUAAAAAUUACAACACUGAGGGGAAACAAAGACUCAGGACACCGGCAAAUGAUAAGCAUGAAAAGCCACCGAGAUUUCCAACCAAAACUGGUUUACCAUCUGACAUUCUGAAUCUGGGAUCUUUAUCCUUCUUCAGUAAUGCACUUGCAGCAUCCGCAGAAGAGGUUUUAAAUACCAAGCAAGAGAGGCCAGAAGCACAGGCACUGACCAAAUGUCCAAGAAGGAGAUGGUCUUCUUUCCUCAUGCUGCCAGUUUAAGGGACAAAAACCACUUCUUAAGUCCACACGAAAUCUUGAGCUCUUUAUGCCCUGGUUGUGUGAUGCUGAGAAUCGAACCCAGUGCCUCACACACACAAGGCAAGCUCUCUACCACUGAGCUACAACCCCAGCCCUCUGGCUAGUAUUCCUGUCCUAUAACUAACACUGCAAAUCGUGAGCCUGCCUGGAAAUUUGUCUGUAACAUGGCUUACUAAUGAAUCUCGAAUGAUCUGUUGUUAAAACUUGGAGGCUGCUGCCCAGCCAUUCUAAGGGGGUGAGGCUGACCCUGCAGAUCUCGUUUAUCCUACCAGCAAGGAACUUGGCGAUUCUGGAAUUCCCUUCACCUCACAGUCACUCCAGAAAGCAAUGAGGAAAUCUGCUGGUCUCACCUCCAGGGGCCUGGUUCUAUGACACCUUCACCUGACCAGCCUGUGGGCCCAGCUGGGGCACAUGCCUGGCGGUGAGAAGGCAUUUGGGGAUUGUGCCCUGACACUUAAGUUCUAGCACAUUCCUGCCUCCCAAAGUGCUUGCACUAAGCCCACUGCUCAGCAGGUCUCUGUCAGGCCCAAGCUGGCACGUUGGAAGCAUCAUCUCAACAGUACUGACCAGACAUUGCCCGUCUAAGAAGUGGUCUGCAGGAUCUAGACCAAGUGUCCUUCCUCCCUGGGGAACUGAGCUUCAGUGCUGCCUUCUGCCACCUCCCUGUGCUGCAGGCUUCCUGUGUUUUCUGGCUGGCUGGCCUGCCUGUCCUUCCGUCUCCUGCCCCGGGAAGACCUCGCUUGUUCAUCUCUGAGUCUCCCUCACAGCGCCCAUUCCUGCCUGGAUCCUGCUCUCAGCCUUGGCUCUGCCAUGGGUCUGUGCUGGUAGUAGUUCUGGCCUGUCCCAGCUAGACUUCCAAAACUGCAGGGGCCAGAGGCUGGUGCCAGGGAUCCUGAGGCCUUGUCCCUGACCCCCCAGGGCCUGAGCUGGCACCUGGAAGAGGCAGCCUUCUGUUGAGCAGAAGGGCAGAGGAACCAGCAAGAACGAGCAGAGAAGUUCAACGGUGUCACUUGAUAGAUAGCUGCAGGGACCAGGGAGAAGGGAACAUGAAAAUGUGGCCAGAGAGGUCUCUGCGUGGGGGGAAGAACAGUCUCCCCCUCAUAUGCAUUUCCUGUAUUUUCCAAAUUUUCUGCACUGAGCAGAAUUAGAAAAGGACUAUAUGACUGAUAUGUCCAUGAUAUGUCAAAUAGUUAUAAUUCAUACUUAAGAAUGAAAUUAACUGUUAAUAUUUGUGAAUUUAACAUAAAUAGCAAUCAUGUAUAUUGCCAGAAGAGUCGUUGGAACCAGAGUGGCAGUUCCCGUGUCUCUAGCCCUUUCCCCUGCACAAAGACACCUUCAAAUAGAAAACAAAACUGGGCAGCUCUACCAUGUCAGCCCUGGCUGCUGCGCCCACGUUCCCUGCAGCAGCCCUUGACAGUGAGCAGGGCUGGACACUGUGCUCGUUUUAAACCGGGUAGGCCCAAUGUGGAGGAGUGAAGAGCACUUGGGUUCCCCAGAGGCACUUCUAGGCUGCUUUCCCAGGGGAUCGGUGGGCUUCCUAUCCACCCCAAGCACUUCCCACAAUGCCUGUGGCCAGGGGAACUGCAGGAGCAAACAUUGUUUUGGGUAAUGGUAUUUGCAUGGGUCUCUAUAUCAUUUGAGGUGCCUGAGCCAGCUUGUGGGUCAUGCUGGGAAGUGUCCUGGUUGAGAGUGACAGUGUCUCAGCCAGGUGAGACUCUUUUCCACACCAUUACGUUAGAGCCGAAUGCCACACUCCUCCUUGGAAGGAAAAAGCGUUCACAGGAUGAGGACUCAGCGCAUGUCUGGGAUGCAUCCACCCAGGACUCACGGCUGCAGGGAGAUGCCUGCUCUUUCCUCUGUCUGUUGAGACAGGGCCAUUGCUGUCCCCUGGAUAACAGCCGGGAGGCCAAUCUCCAAACUGACGUAUUUGAUAUUAAGUAUCUUCCUUUAAAAACUGGGUUAAAAGGCAAAUCAGCGUGCUGUUUUCUACUCAAAAAGGCAAUUUCUAAAUUUGGGUUUUAAAAAAAAAUGUACUCCAGCUUGAAAAGCCCAAGGCUCUCAGAGGCAAGUAAGAUACACCACUCUGUGCUAAAACCAUCUUAGCUGCUUAGAAUAAAUCAGAACAAGACGAUGUGCGCCGAGCACACGUCUCCCAUCCCUGCUCUCUGAAGGCAGAGUGGGCCGAGCUGCUGCAGGCAGACCCCUCCUGUCCCAGGAGCCCACUGCCCCACACCAGAGCCCCAGCAUGGUAAAGGUCAGGCUCCAGGGUCCCAUGUACCGGACAGACAAGGCUUUCCCCACACCAAAGGCAGUUCCGGUGCUAGAUGCGGAUCCAAUUAUAAAAUAAAUAAUCACAAAAUACAAUCAACAGGUAAGGUGACCAAAUUGGACACAUUUAUUUCUUCCAAGAGAAACGUCGGGCACUUGGAAUUUUUAAGCUGUAGGUAGAUGGGCACAUUUUCAAAAGACCCCUGAUUGUACUUCCCCUCCUCACACUGGGCACUAGAAAACAUCUCUGCUUUCUAAAACAAAAACACAUGCCACGUUAACUCAGCAAAGAAAAACCAAUGUGCAGAAUCUUCGCAGAGAUGAUUUUUAAAUUAAAAAGAGAGAGAAACUGUUAGCUGUGAUUUAUACCUUUUGGGGGGGAAAUUACCUUCCGCGAGUGUCAAUAAUUUAACUGUCAAAUCACAACAAAACGAUACUUCAGCCUCCGAGGCUCUGGGACAGCAGCGUGGAAGGCAGAAUUUAAUGGUAACUACGAAAUACAAACGCUGAGGCUGGUACAGCAAAGGCCGCUUUCAGGGACUCUCCAGACAGGGCGGGGUCUUCACUAAUGUGUUUUAUCUCCUCCAUCUAUCUACACACAGGAUUAAAAUAUUUAUAUCGGCCUGCUCACUUGAAGACACACAGUCACCGACCGCUUCAGGGCCACUCCUUCGUUUCCCAGUGUCAGCUGCUCGGUGCUUCUAGAAACGUGGUCUCUGGACGUUGCACACUUUCAAAUGCUGGUGAGACCUGAGAGCAGGGAGCCUGGCACACUGGGUUCUCUAACGAAUACGAAGUCCCUCCUCGGCCACAGCCACAGGGACGCUGGCCAGCCACGGGGAUCAGGAUGGAGCCGGCUGAAGCCUGUUUCCCAAGAGCGGCCAGUGAAACCACGGAGGCCUGACCCAGUUUAAGGCAGCAGCGUACCUCUGGCCAGGAUGGCUGCUGGAAACCAGAGCCUGGCAAGGAGGCACCAGCCUGGCUGCCAGCAGUUGCUGGAACACAUGAGAUCACAGAUGUAGCUGUUUGCAGCUUGUUGAGUUGCCCUGGAUGCUGCUGGGCGAGCGCGUGGGUGCAGGGGCUACGGACCGCCUGGAAGCCUGCUCUUUCUUAGGGGGCAAUAGCUCCCCACAUUCCGACCCUCACACACUGCCCUGACCCAGCCUUGCACAUGUGUGCCUCUUGAAUUGGAACUUGCACAUUCAGAUGUCUGGGAAUCCAUUGUGAAACACGCAUGUGUGCACAUGAGGACACACACACACACACACGCAGGGGGCCAGGCCCUGGCUUCUCUCCACAGCAGGCACCGAUAUCCCUGUGGGGCUAGCCUCUGGGGAAGCCCAGUUCACAGGGAACCCAAGACCUCUCAGGGCCAGACACUGGACCCUUGGCCCUGGGACAGUCUGAACUAACCAGGAUCAGAGCUGACCUUCAUGGGCCAGGGCACCUCUGCCUUCCCAGGCCCUUCCUCCAUAAAUAUUAAAAAUCAUAUUUAAUGACUGCAUUGGAUUACA